ensembl:lncRNA
GAAACAUGUAUACUAUCAUGUAAGAAUCGAAUCGCCAGUCUAUGUCUGAUGCAGGAUACAGCAUGCUUGGGGCUGGUGCAUGGGGAUGACCCAGAGGGAUGUUGUGGGGAGGGAGGUGGGAGGGGCGUUCAUGUUUGGGAACACAUAUACACCAGUGGUGGAUUCAUGUCAAUGUAUGGUAAAACCGAUACAGUAUUGUAAAGUAAAAUAAAGUAAAAAUUAAAAAAAUAAAGUACCUCCAGAGUAAUUUUUUCAAAAUAUGAAUAACUGCAAAUCAUGAAAAUCUAAGUUCCACUCAGACCUUUUUUCAAGGGAAAGUUUUAUUUUAUUCUGUAAUUUUGAAAAUAAUAAAUAUGUAUCUAAGUAUUGAAAAAAAAAAAAGAAAUGUGGGUUUGACCCCUGGGUUGGGAAGAUCCCCUGGAGGAGGGCAUGGCAUCCACUCCAGUGUUCUUGCCUGGAGAAUGCCCAUGGACAGAGGAGCCUGGUGGGCUACGGUCCACAGGGUUGCAAAGAGUUGGACAUAACUGCAGUGACUUAGCAUGCACCCACAUGCACACCAGCUAAUGGAGGGGACUUAGGAUGAGGGGUUUUACUGCUUCGUAGAAAGACUUUGAAACAGUGAUGCUCUGGUUGAGGCUUACCUUCCCUCCAGCCUUCACAAGCACUUCAUGUCUCUUGUUUGGAGAACGUGUACCUUGACAUUACUGCACAUUGAGGGGCAUUUAUUAGAACAUUGGUUUUCAGAGUGUAGUCUUGGGGUCUGAAGGUCAAAAGAAUUUAUAAUGAUACUCAGAUAAAAUUUGCCUUUUUCUCUCUUAUGCCCCUUUGAGCAUAUGGGGGAACUUUCCAGAGGCAAGAUGAUGUGUGAUACCACAACAGAUUAAAUGCAGAAGCAGGUGACAAGAGUGACUUAAUUGAAGAGUUUGGGAGAAGAACUGGGGAGUGAAAGGAUUCUAGCCCAUUGAAACUUAAUUUUUAGGCCCGUCUAGUCAAGGCUAUGGUUUUUCCAGUAAUCACGUAUGGAUGUGAGAGUUGGACUUUGAAGAAAGCUGAGUGCCGAAGAAUUGAUGCUUUUGAACUGUGGUGUUGGAGAAGACUCUUGAGAGUCCCUUGGACUGCAAAGAGAUCCAAGCAGUCCAUUCCGAAGGAGAUCAGCCCUGGGAUUUCUUUGGAAGGAAUGAUGCUGAAGCUGAAACUCCAGUACUUUGGCCACCUCAUGCGAAGAGUUGACUCAUUGGAGAAGACUCUGAUGCUGGGAGGGAUUGGGGGCAGGAGGAGAAGGGGACGACAGAGGAUGGGAUGGCUGGAUGGUAUCACUGACUCGAUGGACGUGAAUCUGAGUGAACUCUGGGAAUUGGUGAUGGACAGGAAGGCCUGGUGUGCUGCGAUUCAUGGGGUUGCAAAGAGUCGGACACGACUGAGCGACUGAGCUGAACUGAACUGUUAUUUCCCAGGUCACAUCUACCUUGGUAAAACUUGGGAUGGUAGAAACAACUACAAAGCAGUAUUUCUAUAUAUUUGUUCUCACUUGGUCUUCAGAAAUUUCAGCCUUCUCAAAUUUGGUGAAAUGGUCUGUGUGUGGUAAGUUGUUUCAGUCGUGUCUAACUCUUUGCGACCCCAUGGACUGUAGCCCACCAGGCUCCUCUGUCCAUGGGAUUCUCCUGGCAAGACUACUGGAGUGGGGUGCCAUUUUCCUCCUCCAGAGGUCUCUGAGAAUUAUCUAUAAAAUCAAAGCACAAUAAUAACAACAUUAGAAUAUAUGCAAAUCAGGACUCAAAUAUAAAUAUUGCUCAAAUCCAAAAGCAGGAAGUGCAAUACAAAACUGCCUCUUUUAGCAUGUCAGAAAGUUAUGAAUUAAGUUGAAUUAAUACAUUAUAAGAAAAAACAUGUCAGUCAGAAAAGAAAGUAGAUGAUCAGUAAUGGAAGUCUGCAAAGUUAUGGAAAUUGUCUUGCCCUAACAUCCCAGCUGUGCCCAAGAGAUGUUCUCCUGGCCUGUGGACUUCAUCUCUCUGGGGACAAGAACAGCUUUUUUGAAGUGACACAGCUAACAGGUCCCCACAUAGAAGAAUCAAUCCCAUUAAACAUCAGGACUUAAAGAUAAGAGGUGCUGAUUUAAUUCUAUGAUCACUAAGUUAACAGGGUACAACUUGAGGUCCCUUUGGCAGUUAAAUUUCUUGCUUUAAAGACAUUGGUUGCAUUUAGAUUUAUAUACUAGUCAUUUGUAUGCAGGGUUAAUUUGAGUGUAUCCAUUGAAGAAUGAUCUGCUUACUCUCUGAUUAUGAAAAAGAUCAAUUAGUUGAACUUGCAAAUUUGAGAGAAAGGAUUCUGGAGAAGUAUGAAGUCACUGAAGUACCAAUAUGAAGAUUCUUGGUAGCAGACUCUCAUCUUGGCCCCAUACUACCAAGACAGAUAGCCCAUGACAAAAGUAAUGCAGUUACAUUAGGACAUUUAGAAUACAGUAAAAAAUCAGUCACAAUUUCACUAAUGUUACAGUUUUGAUGUCAUUUUUACUUUUGAGGCGUUUACCAUGUAAUUUGUGUGUGUGUGUAUGUGUGUGUGUGUGUAUACACACACCAAUGUUGUAUUAUGUUGUAUAUAUAUGUAACUGAGGUCCUGAAUUUUUUAAAAUCAAAAUGGUAACUUUUAUUUUUUUAUUGAAGUAUAGUUGAAAUAUAGUUGAUUUACAAUGUUGUGUUAUUUUCUGCUCUAUAUAUAGUAAAG